UACGUAGGGGGCAAGCGUUGUCCGGAUUUAUUGGGCGUAAAGAGCGUGUAGGCGGUUUUACAGGUCCGCUGUGAAAAACUCGAGGCUCAACCUCGAGCUGUCGGUGGAAACCGCAUGGCUAGAGUCCGGAAGAGGAGAGUGGAAUUCCCGGGUGUAGCGGUGAAAAUGCGCAGAUAUCAGGAGGAACACCGGUGGCGAAGCGGUGGCUGGGCCGGAACUGACGCUGGAGGAGCGAAAGCGUGGGGGAGCGAACA
rnacentral:rRNA from 1 species